UUUUGGGAAUUGCAAUUAGAAGAUGGUGGCGUUCUUGCAGAGUUCAGUGAGAAUUAUUCACAGAAACCUUGUUGAGAGAGUAUUAUUACUUUUAUCAAAGAGAGUGUGGAUGAAGAGUAAAAAGUACAGUUCCAAUUCUGAUGUGCAGCCAAUGCCUAAGAAAAGACUCACUUUGUGUUGAAGGAAACGUCAGUGUUGUCAAGACAACUUUCCUGAACCUACUAACAAGUGGCAGGAUGUUGGACCCAAUCACUUCAAUAUCUUGGACGCUUUUUACUCUGAGCCACAAAGAUGAUAUAUUUGGGGGUUGAUACUGCAAACAGGAACAUCAAUUUUGUCACUGAAAUGUUCACUUCUGGGACUCAAAAACAGUAUAGGCAAAAGCACAAGAGAGUCAACAUUAUAGCAGUGAAGCAUUGGUGCAGACAGAUCUUGAGAGGUCUUCACUAUCUCCAUAGCAUCAACAAUAUUAGCCUGUUUUUUUCCUAUGCUGAUCUGAAUUUUGUCUGCUUGAGAUCUAUUGCUUAUUUGUGUUGUGUGUGUGUGUAUAUAAAUGUUUGGUUUCUUCAUUUUUUUUUUGCCCCAUUAUGUCACUGUUUAGCUUACCCGAAAUCUUAGCUACAUUUUUUCUAACCUUCUGAUUUGUAAAGUUUUUAUUUCCUCAAACUCCUCAUUUAUCACCUCUACGUGCUUAGCAUUUUUUUUUAUUUUUUUAUGAAGAAAUGAUUGAUUGGAAAUCUAACAGUAGAGAUGUUCAGUAUUACAAUAUUAUUCUUAACAAGGAGAUUCUGAUAUUGAAGUGAUUGGGCUUUUAAAAACAUUUUCCAAGAAGAAGUUGAUAAUAUUUGCUCAGAAGUUAUUUCCAGGCCUCACCGAAUUGCUCUCUUUGUUGAUCCCUCUCCCUUUGCGUGAGUAUCUAAUUCUACUUCUGAAUUAGUUUAUACAAGAAUCUUUGUGUAUGUACUGUUUUGUUAAUCCAAAGAUGAAUCUAUGGUGACCCAUUUGGUUAAUUGUGCUCUUGUUGAUGUUCAAUGGUCAAUUUGAUGAUUUGGGUUUGGAUUGGUUGUGUAUACCCUUUGUGUUUGCUGCGUUGACUUUGUUGCUGUGAGGUUCAGCUAUGAAAUCUUUGUGAAUCUGAUUAUUUUGAUGUGAGGUUGUGCCUGAAUGAGUUGUUAAUUUGAACUAUAAUUCUCUUGAUCUUGAUGUGGAUUAGAUUUGGAAUAAAGCUGUAAAGUUUGUAACAUUUUGUGUUUUUGCUAUUAGUGGAUGCAGAAUUUAUUCCUUGUGAAACAGGGGCCUUUACCUUUAUGAUUCUUCUUUGUUCUAUCUGUUCAUCUUUAUGUAUGGUAUCCAUCUUCAUAUACCCCUUUUUCCUCAUCUAUAUUUACUUUUAUUUUAUGGUGUAUGCUUUUGCACAUAGUUUAAUUUAUAGGAACUAGUUUUUUUAACCUUUGAGUCUUCAUUGUAAUGACACCUAUCAGGUUAUGGUUAAUAUACACUACAGGCAAUGAGUUAAUAACAGUUUAUGCUUAUUUAGACAAAUCACAUAACAUAAAUAUAAAUUGGUGUGAAUUUUUUGUACAUCAUAUCCAACAUGAACAAUAUACAAAGUGCAAUAAGAAAUGAAGUAUCAUAGGUAUUAAAGCAAUAAUUUAUAUAAAUUCACUUUAAAUUCACUUUAAAGCAAUAAUUUAUAUAGAUAUUCCUAGCUGAUGGAAAUUACAAUGAAUCUUUUCUUCUUACAUGUAAAUUCACUUUCAUUUGCUGUGCAUAAAUAAUGAUUAGAUGGUUAUGUGGAGCAUCAUGAUUGGUAAUAAAGCAAUAAUUUAUAUAAAAAGAGACCAUAACCAUAAGAUUCUUUAGGCACAUGUGAUGUAAGUUAAGUUUUGUUUUUAAUGUUAUGAUAUCUUGUUAAGUUAAGUUUGUUUGUAUUAACUAUGUGUGUACGUAUCUUUGUGUGUUCAAGAGUAUUUGUGUCUUUUGUGGGAGUAGCCAAGGCAAGCAGAGCAGCUACCAAGAUGAUGUCGAGCUUGGCAAGGAAUUGAUCCUCUCUGCAACAACACUUCUGGGGGCUGCAUUUUGCUUUGCCGCCUUCUGUUUUAAGAGCCUCUAUGUUUUCGUAGCUCUUUUCUCUGUUGGUGAACUACUCGUCUUCGCC